rnacentral:lncRNA from 1 species
AAGCUUAAAACUCAUGAAGUUCAUCAUAUUCAUCAUCCCAUGAAAGUGUACGGCCGCACACCUUCAUAUGGGGGCAGCACACAUUCAAAACUCCCAAGUAUGAAGAGCAUACACUUCAAAAAUCAACAUAUGGACUCAAAUGAGGAGUGUACGGCCGCACACUCUUGUGUACGGCCGCACACACCCUCUGUACAGCCGUACGCUCUUGUGUUCUGCCUCACACACACUCCUGGCCGCACUCCCCAGCCGCACACUCAUUUUCAAGACCAUACACCCACUCUAAUACCCAUUUUUGGCCCUAAACUUGCAUAAAUCAUUAAGUUUGGAUCAUAGGACGCUUAUUCUUAGUAAUUCCAAGCCCUAAGGAUGUUUUCCCACCAUGUUAGUCAUGGAAAAACCUUAGUUCUAACUCAUUUAUGUGUCAUCACAUGAAAAAUAGGGCCAUAGGAGUUCAGGGCAUCCGUUGACACUCAAUCUCUACAUUAAGCGGUGAGUUCAUACCCCUACUCUUUUUCACUGUUUUUCACUGUUUUUAGGGGGGGAUACACACGCAAAGUACAAGGGAUUACUUGUACUCAAAACUUGUUUUCGUGUGUGUGUUUCACAUAUUAUAUGCUUUUAAUACUGAUUGAUACAACUGAUAACUGUUUGAACAUGCAGAUCAAGUAAACAUAUGUUUUUGAAAUGGGUUUAUAAACUGUUGUGUUUUAUAUAUUUCACAAAUAAUUUCCACAUUUUAUUAGUUAAAAGCAUGACAUUGGAACAUUUGAAACAUAAAACUUGUACACCGUAUAUCCUCGGUAACACUCCACAGAGAUAUGCGAGUGGAGGACUAUCAUAUUAUUACUAGUAAAUUUGUUAGUCCUGUAUGAUUGGAGACACGUCCUCGGUGAACACUCCACGGAGAUACGCGAGUGGAGGACUGCACCCGUAACCAGAAUCUCUGGGUUUAGAGAGUGUGACUUGAGUGUAUAGAUCUAUACGGGGGUGACUACCCCACACCUGGCUGCUAGCUACAGCCGAACCGAAAUGGUUCAAGGGUGACGAAAGUCAUAAGGUGAUGUGGACUACUUAUUGCCAUAUCUAGUCUAUCGUAUGGUUAUGGAACUCGUAAUUAGGAUAACAAUGAUUUACUUAAUAGUAAUAAUGAAUAACUUAACACAAUUUACAAGAUAACCAGGUUUCAAAAUACAUCUUUUACAUUGAUAACCAACAUUCAGGAAAAUAUGGGGCUUUCCUGGGAAACGUUUACAUAACUAGAAAAGUAUUAGAAGACGGAUAACUUUACAUCUGUUACAAUUGGUAAAAACACAAUCAGCAAAGUAUGUGACUUUCCUGGGGAUACAUUGGUACAUAACCAGAACAGUAUAACAAACCAGAUAACUUAACUGUACAUUUUCACAAGAGUAAUCGUAUUUUCAGUAUACAACUAUACUUUAUAUGUUGAGAACAAAAACCAAUCGUUUUAAGAAAAUAUGGGAUUUUCUUGGUGUGAGUAACAUUUUCAGAAACAAAAAGGAAACUUGAACACUUUCACAAAACAAAAAUCGCUUAUGAAUUCACCAGCGUUAUGCUGAUUUUCAAACCGCUUGUGUUCUCAAGUCAGCGUUAGAACAGGUACCCGAAGAUCAUUUUGUUCCAUGUGGGAGUGUGCAGAAGACUUGUCUUGUUUUGUUUAUAUAAACUAUGUAUCACAACUGUACAACUUACUUUUGAAACAAAUGUAAACUUUCCUAUAUGUAAUGUAAUGGUUGUUUUACUUUACUUAGUAUGUGCAUUGGAUUUGAUACUUAACAUGGAGUUAACCCCGAAAAUGUUUCCGCCUUCGGUUUUUCGGGGUGUGACAGAUUGGUAUCAGAGCCCUUGUUUAUAGUGAAUAAAGUAUACCGAACCUUACAUGGUAUAAAACUAUAAACACUAAAAGGGCCUAAGUGCUCUGAAUUAAAAGUAUCUUCAAACUAUAAGUAUUUUCAGAAGUAUACAAGUAUACCGAACCGUCGAGAUCCGUAACUACAAGUAGAACAAAACAUAAGUAAAUGGGUGUUGUGUACUACGGUUAAACCUGGGUAGUUAUGUAGUCGUGUCUAGGAUCAAUAUAGCCUGGCCAACUAUAUUCAUUCGAGACACGGCCAACAUGUGCUUGGGAGUGACUGUGGUAUGCGGCAUGCCUAAAACUUACCCUAAUACCACAAACAUUGAGCCAGUGUCGUAGCGAAUCAUGAAAUACUAUGGGAGUAUUUCUCGAGCCAAUCCUUCGUAGAAAUCCUCAUUCACGUAUAGAUCCUUGAUCAUUCUAUUAUCGAUAGUUUACUUGCUUUAGUAACUCUUUCUUGCUUUAUCGCUUAUUCGGAAUAUAUAUCUGUCAUAUCUCUCAAUUCUAUUCAGAGGACUUAUCAUCCUCUCUUUCUUGAUCUUAUUAGAUCAAGAUGCCUCCUAGAAAGAGACCCAGCUCCAAGACCAACAACCCUCCGCCACCACCUCCUCCUCAAAUUGACCCCGUGGUAUUUCAGGCAGUUGUUACCGUCGUGGUGGCAGCUGCUAUGUCCCAAUUAAAUACCCAUGGUUCCGGUGGUUCAGGAGGUGGUACUCAAACUCAGGAUCAAGAAAGCAAUCAGGGACACCGAAAGGAGGGUUCCUAUAACGACUUCAUGAAUGCGAAACCAACAUCCUUCGAUGGCACUGGAGGUGUCAUUUCCUUAUCCCGAUGGUUCGAGAAAAUCGAAUCCAUUUUCGAAAUCGAUGCCUGUGCGGAAUCUGAUAAGGUCAAAUUCGCAGCCUGUACCUUUCUCAACAAAGCCUUGACUUGGUGGAAUGGCCGAGUCAAAUCUCUGACCCUACCUAUAGCCAACGCCAUGGGCUGGGAAGCCAUGAAAGAACUCUUGAUAACCGAAUACUGCCCCCGUGGUGAAAUGCAGAAACUAGAGCACGAGCUCUGGAACCUGAAGAUGAAAGGUUCUGACAUUGCUGCAUACACUUCCCGAUUCGAUGAUCUCGCACUUCUCUGCCCGGGACUAGUCACUCCUGAAAGUAAAAAGAUCGAGAGGUUCAUUUGGGGAUUAACUCAACCAACAAAGGGUCAUGUCUUAGCUGCUCGUCCGGAUACCAAUGAUAGUGCCAAGACUUUAGCCCAAACCCUAAUUGAUCACGGUGAUAAUGUCGAUGAAACCACUACCACUCCUGAGCCGACCAAGAGUAGUGGUGAGAAAAGAAAAUUUUGGAAGAAGAAGAAGGGUCCAUCUUCCCAAGGGUCCUCCAAAAGACAGCAAACAGUAGCAGUCCAUGCUGCUACUACCCCCGUUGCUGCUAUUUUUGUUGUGGGAUCCACAGCUCCAACUCCUACCAGCCGAUAUGUUGGUAAUCUUCCCCUCUGUGACAAGUGCAAAUACCAUCAAAACCCCGGCCCCUGCCUAGAAUUAUCAUGUACCAAUUGUGGUAAGAAGGGGCACACGGUCUGAUUCUGUAAAGCUCCGGCCCAAUCGGCCAAUCAAUCAUCUGGAACAGGCGUUGGUCAAGCCUGCUAUAACUGUGGAGAGGUUGGGCACUUUAAAAGGACUGCCCGAAGAAGUCUACAGCCGAUAACACCGGGAGAGUCCUAGCCAUAGGACGGGAGGAAGCGGUCGCCAAUCCCACUAUUGUCUCGGGUACGUUCCUUCUCGACAACUCAUAUGCUAGUACUCUUUUCGAUUCGGGUGCUGAAAGAAGCUUUGUUAGUCAUUCGUUCAAACAUAACCUAAAACAUAAUCCCCAUCCUUUAACUGAAACGUUUACCGUCGAGAUGGCUAAUGGUAAGAAAGAAAGCGCUAACGAGAUAAUCGUAGGUUGUACCCUUACCCUGAACGACCAUUCAUUUCCUAUCGAUCUCAUGCCGGUUUCCAUAAAGAGCUUUGAUGUCAUCAUUAGCAUGGAUUGAUUGAGUCCCAAUCAUGCUGAUAUCCUCUGUUUCGAAAAAGCCAUCCGUCUCAACUUUCCUUUGGAUCAAACUCUCAUAAUCUAUGGUGAUAAACUCAGCUCCAAUCUUCGUAUCAUCUCCUGCAUCAAAGCUCAAAAGCUCCUGCGAAAGGAGUGCAUUGCAUUCUUGGCCCAUGUAAUCAACGAGAAACAGGAAGUUAAAGACCUUGCGAGCAUCCCCGAAGUCUGUAACUUUCCUGAUGUGUUUCCCGAAGAGCUUUUAGGAAUUCCUCCCGAGCGUCAGGUUGAGUUCCGUAUUGACCUAAUUCCUGGAGCUACUCCCGUAGCGAAGUCUCCGUAUCGCUUAGCUCCAGCAGAAAUGCAGCAGUUAUCCAACCAAUUCAAUGAGUUGCUCAGUAAAGGAUUCAUUAGACCGAGUUCCUCACCCUGGGGAGCUCCCGUAUUAUUUGUCAAGAAGAAAGAUGGAUCCUUUCGGAUGUGUAUCGAUUAUCGCGAGCUGAACAAGUUGACCGUCAAAAACCGAUAUCCUCUUCCGCGAAUAGAUGACCUCUUCGAUCAACUCCAGGGAGCCAGUUACUUCUCCAACAUAGACCUUCGAUCAGGGUACCAUCAGCUACGAGUUCAUGAGAGUGAUGUUUCCAAAACAGCUUUCAGAACUCGAUAUGGACACUACGAGUUCGUAGUGAUGCCCUUCGGUCUAACUAACGCACCGGCAGUGUUCAUGGACCUGAUGAACCGGGUGUGUCAUCCCUAUCUGGACAAGUUCGUCAUUGUAUUCAUUGAUGACAUACUUGUCUACUCCAGAAGCGAAGAAGAUCACAAACAGCACUUGAGGCUAGUGUUGGAAACCCUUAGAUCCGAGAAGUUGUACGCAAAAUUUUCCAAGUGUGAGUUCUGGAUUCGGAAGGUAACUUUCCUCGGUCACGUGGUAAGCGAGGAGGGUAUUCAUGUAGAUCCUUCCAAGAUUAAAGCGAUAGAGAAUUGGUCGGCACCGAAGACACCCACAGAAAUCCGGCAAUUCUUGGGUCUCGCCGGCUAUUAUCGGAGAUUUAUCCAGAACUUUUCCAGAAUCGCCAAACCCUUAACCACUCUAACACAGAAAGGUGUACCCUUUUGUUGGAGUGAUAAGCAAGAAACCGCGUUCCAGACGUUCAAGAAAGCCUUGUGCACCGCGCCUGUUCUGUCCCUACCCGAAGGGACAAAGGGCUUCGUUGUCUUCUGCGAAGCGUCCAAUCAAGGCUUAGGCUGUGUGCUUAUGCAAAGAGGAAAAGUAAUUGCUUAUGCCUCUAGACAACUGAAAGCACACGAGGUCAACUAUACCACACAUGACUUGGAAUUAGGAGCCGUAGUCUUUGCAUUGAAGAUUUGGAGACAUUACCUCUACGGAACCAAGUGCACGAUCUUCACUGACCAUAAGAGCCUGCAACACAUCUUUGAUCAGAAAGACUUGAACAUGAGGCAACGGCGAUGGGUAGAACUACUCAGCGAUUAUGAGUGUGAAAUCCGUUACCAUCCCGGCAAGGCCAAUGUGGUAGCAGAUGCCCUUAUCCGAAAGGAAAGUUCGGUCCGCAAAGUGAAGAACCAGACGAUGACCAUCCAUUCCAACUUACCCAUGCAAAUCCGAGAAGCCCAGUUAGAAGCCCUCAAACCCGAGAACGUGUCGAUCGAAGCCUUAAGAGGAAUGGAAAAGAAACUUGAGAUCAGGGGUGACGGAGUCUACUGCUUCAUGGAUCGAAUCUGGAUUCCAAAGUCCGUAGGAUUCAGGGAGAUUGUUAUGGAGGAAGCACACAAGACCAGAUACUCUGUUCACCCGGGUUCGGACAAGAUGUACCUGGAUCUCAAGAAACAAUACUGGUGGCCAAACAUGAAAACUGAGAUAACUAUAUUUGUGGGCAAGUGUCUGACUUGCGCCAAGGUUAAAGUUGAGCACCAGAAACCCCCGGGUCUGCUCCAACAGCCCGAGAUACCCGAAUGGAAAUGGGAGAUGAUUACCAUCGACUUCAUCANAAGUGUCUGAGUGGGUACGACACCAUUUGGGUAAUUGUCGAUCGUCUGACAAAUUCCGCCCACUUCAUCCCAAUCAAAGAAUCAUUCAAGAUGGAAAGACUCGCGCGAAUCUACAUCCAAGAGGUAGUUCGACUACACAGUGUACCUGCUUCCAUUAUCUCUGACCGAGAUAGCAGGUUUACCUCCAGAUUCUGGCAGUCUCUCCAGAAAGCCCUUGGAACCAAACUAAACAUGAGCAAGGCAUAUCAUCUUUAGACUGACGGACAAAGUGAGAGAACUAUCCAAACCCUGGAGGACAUGCUUAGAGCAUGUGUCAUUGAUUUUGAAAACUUGUGGGACACACAUCUGCCUUUGAUCGAGUUCUCAUACAACAAUAGUUACCACACCAGCAUCAGGGUUGCCCCGUUUGAAGCCUUAUACGGUCGUAAGUGUAGAUCCCCUAUGUGUUGGGCCGAGUUGGGGGACACACAGUUAGCCAAGAGUCGAAUCCCUGACAGUGCUCUCACUGGUCCUGAAAUCAUCCGCAAAACCACUGAGAAGAUCAUCCAAAUCCGAGAACGAUUGAAAGCUUCACGAGAUCGCCCUGGAAAGGCACAGUACGCUUUGGAAAGGCACAGUACGCUUUGGAAAGCGUGGGAAACUUAACCCUAGGUACAUUGGACCCUUUGAGAUCCUUGCCAGGAUCGGUCCGGUAACCUAUAAACUUCGUUUACCCCAUGAGCUCAGUAACAUCCAUCCCGUCUUCCAUGUUUCAAAUCUCAAUAAGUGCCUGUCCGAUGAAACCUUAGUAAUUCCUUUAGGCGAGAUCGAGAUCAAUGAAAACCUCAACUUCGUGGAGGAACCGAUCGAAAUCAUGGAUCGAGAAGUCAAACGUACAAAGCAAAGCCGCAUCCCGUUAGUGAAGGUCCAUUGGAAUGCCAAGCGGGGACCGGAGUUCACUUGGGAGCGUGAAGACUCGAUGAAGCAAAAAUAUCCACAUCUCUUUCCAGAUCCAUGAUUUGUAGCUUGACUUAUAUCUUAAUUUUGAAUUUCGGGACGAAAUUCCCUCUAACAGGGGGAUAAUGUAACAACCCGAAACUUCUAACCCAUGAAAUUGAUCUGUGUUUCAGCACUAAAACUUGAGUUUAUUGUCUUUUAUUAAAUCUUGUGAUUCCAUAUGGGUGCUUUAGACUUAGUAUAAUUUAGAUAUGAGUCUUAGGAAGGGUUGGAGAGUGUUCAGUAUCACAAAAUCGGGCCUAAACUCACCAAAUAAGGUAUGUGCGGCCACACACUUGUGUGUGCGGCCACACACCUGUGUGUACGGCCACACACCCAACCGCAAACACUCUCAACCUCACACCCAAUUCAAUUUAUGGAUGGAUACCUCUUCAUUCAAUCAUUUAGAUGUUCUCUUCCCUCUCUCUACUUUCUCUCUCUAAAUCAUCAAUCAAGAACACUUGGAAGGCUUCAUAAUCGUGAUCUACUUCAUCUUCAAGCUAAGUAUAGUGGUAAACACUUGAAUCCCAAGCUUAAAACUCAUUAUGUUCAUCAUAUUCAUCAUCCCAUGAAGGUGUACGGCCGCACACCUUCAUAUGGGGGCAGCACACAUUCAAAACUCCCAAGUNUCCAAACCUGAACGGCAGAAACGUUCGGGGGCGGAUGACUUCAUGUGGUAACGUAACAAAUGAAUACAUAGUAAAGAAAGCAAUACAACCAUCAUAUAUAUAAUUGAAAGUUUACAUUUGUCAAAAGGUACAUGUUCAAAACCAAUUACAUUAUGAUGUCAAAAUGUGAGAUUUAAGGGGCGCCGCAGCGUCCCUUCUUCAAAAACGUAUUGUUACCUGUAGUUACUGAAUCCCUGGGACAUACAAGUAAUUNGAUGGAAAAACCUUAGUUCUAACUCAUUUAUGUCACACCUCCAAACCUGAACGGCAGAAACGUUCGGGGGCGGAUGACUUCAUGUGGUAACGUAACAAAUGAAUACAUAGUAAAGAAAGCAAUACAACCAUCAUAUAUAUAAUUGAAAGUUUACAUUUGUCAAAAGUUACAUGUUCAAAACCAAUUACAAUAUGAUGUCAAAAUACGAGAUUAAACUGGCGCCGCAGCAUCCCUUCAUCAAAAGCAAAAUGAAUACCUGAAAUUUACUGAUUUCCUGGGACAUACAAGUAAUUUUGAAAGAGUAGAUCAGCAUUUAAGCUGGUGAGUUUCAUAAGUAUUUAAAUGACAAUGUUUGAAUGAAAUGAAAUGUUUUGUCCUUGUUUGUUUGUGUUUAGAAAAUCCUAUAUUUUCUACUAGUAUAAUAGUAGCCUUCACUCAAGACCAAUGUUUGUUUCUAAAAUGUAUGUAAGUGUAAAAUAACCAAUGAGUUUGAAAACCUUGUAAAUCAAUGCAUUUUUAAUACCCCUUGUGAGUUUUAUAACCAUACUAUCGACUCGGAAUGCCUAUACACAACGUUCUUCAGGCGUUGGAAUGUUAUGACGUUUGUCACCCCAAACGGUGGACUGCAGCUAACAGUCAGGGCGCGGGUUGUCAAGCCCGUAUAGAUCUAUACACAAACACCAUGCUCCCCCUCCAAGGGAUUCUGGUAUAUAAUACAGGACUUGAAAUGUGUACUCGAACGUACAUGAAGUUAGUGUCUCACAAAACCGUGGUAUAAAAACAGAUCUACUUGUUAAAAUGUUACGUUUGUUCUUGUAUACGAAAGUAAACUUCUUGAAAUUCAUGUUUCUAGUACAUAAGAGUUAGAAAUUUGUUCGUAAAACUAUACCUAUUAUAGUUUUCUAAAAGUGUGUCUUGUUUGUUUAGAAAUACCUAGAAAAGGAAUCACUUGUUUAUGAAAGCAUAGAUUUUUGGUGUAGAGUCUAAGAUAGACAAGAAUAAUCUAAGAAAAGUUUAGUUUAUACAUGCAUUACAACAAAUUUAUAUUUCAAAAGAUAGAAUGCUAUUUUAACAUAUGUUAUAUAUAUGAAAGUUCCUUAAAGGUUUAUAAAUCGCAUGUGAUUUGGAUAUAUAACAGCAUAUAAAAGAGUUUCUUUAUGUAACACACGAUAAUACUCGUGUGUUUUACUUGUAAUCCCCCCCUUGAAAGCAUAUAAAAGAAUUUAUAAAAUAUUUAAAAGGUAAAUUAAGGGGUAUGAACUCACUUGAAAGUUUGAAGAUACCGAGAUGGAAAACCGGGCAGAGUUUCGUCUCAGGAAAUGGAUUUUUCUCGAGAUCUCGGGAAUCUGGGGAGUAAAAUCGACCUUCGGGACUUGAGCAAAAUGACCAGGGCUUCGGGAUAGUGCCGGCACGGAAAUCGAGGCAAUAUCGUGAGAGAAAUGAGAGAAAUGGGGUGAAUUUCCCGGAAACCUCGCAUCUCUAUUUAUAGGGGUCUGAGAAGCCUCGGUAUGCGGGGCUUACUUGUGCGUCACCCGUGACCGAGUCCUCGACUGCUUCGCUUCGGAUGGGACGGAUCGGCUAGGCUCGCAUAGGGGCGACGUGGACGGACCGAGACCAAGGCCUUCGCGUACGCGGGGCAUACGGGGUUACGCGGUGCGUAACUCGGAUGAGAACGUUGACUCCCCCUUCGGAUAUUACCAUAUUUUUGAUUUAAAUUUAUAUAUAAUUUAUUUAAUAAACUUCAAAAAAUCAUAUCUUCUUCAUACGAACUCCGUUUUCGAUGGUCUUUAUAUCCACGCGUAGGUGAGACUACGCUCUACAACUUUAGUUUAGACUCCGUUGGCAAAUUAUGAAAUUAUUGUUAUUAUUUAUUUAUAAAAUGUCGUGAUUAAGGAAUUUCUUUAAAAAUUCAUAACUUCUUUAUCUGAAGUCGGUUUUUGCCAGACUUUUUACCGUUGAAAUACCAUUGUCGAGACCUUCGAUUCUCGUUUAGGUCAUUCUGGCCAAAAGUCGCUCGAUCUCCGAUUCGAGUUUUUAGCUGUCUGCUGCUAAGCCGAACAUGGAAAAAUCUUAACUUCAAUAUACGAAGCCGGAUUUGGGCAUUCUUUUUACGUACGAUCCCGGUUUAAUGAUAUUAAACAUAGUAGGUAGUUAAAUAGAAACUUUUUGGACAUUUUAUUAUCAAAGUUAAUUUCUUUAACUCAAAAGUGGUUACAAUACUUGACUUAUUAGGCCAUUAUAAAGAGUUGAAAUAUUGGGUUGUCACAAUUUAUGUGUCAUCACAUGAAAAAUAGGGCCAUAGGAGUUCAGAGCAUCCAUUAACACUCAAUCUCUACAUUAAGCGGUGAGUUCAUACCCCUACUCUUUUUCACUGUUUUUCACUGUUUUUAGGGGGGGGGGGGGAANGAUUUUCACUGUUUUCAGGGGGGGAAACACAAGCAAAGUACAAGGGAUUACUUGUACUCAAAACUUGUUUUCGUGUGUGUGUUUCACAUAUUAUAUGCUUUUAAUAUUGAUUGAUACAACUGAUAACUCUUUGAACAUGCAGAUCAAGUAAACAUAUGUUUGUGAAAUGGGUUUAUAAACUAUUGUGUUUUAUAUAUUUCACAAAUAAUUUCCACAUUUUAUCAGUUAAAAGCAUGACAUUAGAACAUUUGAAACAUAAAACUUGUACACCGUAUAUCCUCAGUAACACUCCAUAGAGAUAUGCGAGUGGAGGACUAUCAUAUUAUUACUAGUAAACUUGUUAGUCCUGUAUGAUUGGAGACACAUCCUCGGUGAACACUCCAUAGAGAUACGCGAGUGGAGGACUGCACCCGUAACCAGAAUCUCUGGGUUUAGAGAGCGUGACUUGAGUGUAUAGAUCUAUACGGGGCUGACUACCCCACACCUGGAUGCUAGCUACAGCCGAACCAAAAUGGUUCAAGGGUGACGAAAGUCAUAAGGUGAUGUGGACUACUUAUUGCCAUAUCUAGUCUAUCGUAUGAUUAUGGAACUCGCAAUUAGGAUAACAGUGAUUUACUUAAUACUAAUAAUGAGUAACUUAACACAAUUUACAAGAUAACCAGGUUUCAGAAUACAUCUUUUACAUUGAUAACCAACAUUCAGGAAAAUAU